rnacentral:tRNA from 1 species
GCCGAGAUAGCUCAGGGGUAGAGUAGCUGAUUCGUAAUCAGCGGGUCGUGGGUUCAAAUCCCAUUCUCGGCU